UCCCUUCAACCUCUCCUCCCUCCAUCUCCUCUCCUCCCUCCCUCCCUUCAUCCUCUCCUUCCUCCAUCUCCUCUCCUCCCUCCCUUCAUCCUAUCCUCCCUCCAUCUCCUCUCCUCCCUCCCUUCAUCAUAUCCUCCCUCCAUCUCCUCUCCUCUCCUCCCUUCAUCCUCUCCUUCCUCCAUCUCCUCUCCUCCCUCCCUUCAUCCUCUCCUUCAUCUCCUCUCCUCCCUCCCUUCAUCCUAUCCUUCCUCCAUCUCCUCUCCUCCCUCCCUCCAUCUCCUAUCCUCCCUCCAUCUCCUCUCCUCCCUCCCUCCAUCUCCUCUCCUCCCUCCAUCUCCUCUCCUCCCUCCCUUCAUCCUCUCCUUCCUCCAUCUCCUCUCCUCCCUCCCUCCAUCUCCUCUUCUCCAUCCCUUCAUCCUCACCUCCCUCCAUCUCCUCUCCUCUCCUCCCUCCAUCUCCUAUCCUCCCUCCAUCUCCUCUCCUCCCUCCCUUCAUCCUCUCCUUCCUCCAUCUCAUUUCAUGCCUCCAUCGCCUCGCUCUAUUCUAGCCAUUUCCCCUUCCCCCAAAAUCUCAUCUUAACCCCUCUCUCCCUCUCUUUCUUUCUCUCUCUCUCUUGCUCUUUCUUCCCCCUCUCUACCUCUUUAUACAUCCCUCCUCUACUAACUCUCUCUACCUCGGUUUAUCUUUCCCCAUUUCUCAGCCAUUGAAACUCCCUUUCAGACCCUCCUCACCAUCACAUACUUCCUUUAUCUCUCUCUCAAUGGGUCAUGGUAGGACACUCUUUCUCACACACACACACACACACACACACAACUAUGUGUGAUCAAACAUACACCAAUGCAAUGCAGAGCGAGAGGCCAAGGUACUGACUAUGGUGGUUGAGAAUUCUAAUCGAAAAAAAUUGCGUCAUUCACUUAAGUCCUUCACUUUAUUCCACGACCAAACAAGUUUAUUGAUCUGGCCCCUCAAAGAUGUCUCCGCACAGGUUCCAUGCGCCAACAACCAUAUUGAAUACAACGGAUC
rnacentral:lncRNA from 1 species